UACGUAGGGGGCAAGCGUUGUCCGGAAUCAUUGGGCGUAAAGAGCGUGUAGGCGGCCCGGUAAGUCCGCUGUGAAAGUCCAGGGCUCAACCCUGGAAUGCCGGUGGAAACUGUCAAGCUUGAGUCCGGAAGAGGCGAGUGGAAUUCCUGGUGUAGCGGUGAAAUGCGCAGAUAUCAGGAGGAACACCAAUGGCGAAGGCAGCUCGCUGGGACGGUACUGACGCUGAGACGCGAAAGCGUGGGGAGCAAACAGG
rnacentral:rRNA from 1 species